rnacentral:rRNA from 1 species
GAGCGAACAGGAUUAGAUACCCUGGUAGUCCACGCCGUAAACGUUGGGAACUAGAUGUGGGGUCCAUUCCACGGAUUCCGUGUCGCAGCUAACGCAUUAAGUUCCCCGCCUGGGGAGUACGGCCGCAAGGCUAAAACUCAAAGGAAUUGACGGGGGCCCGCACAAGCGGCGGAGCAUGCGGAUUAAUUCGAUGCAACGCGAAGAACCUUACCAAGGCUUGACAUGCACCUGAAAAGGCUGGAAACAGUCUCCUCGCAAGACAGGUGCACAGGUGGUGCAUGGUUGUCGUCAGCUCGUGUCGUGAGAUGUUGGGUUAAGUCCCGCAACGAGCGCAACCCUCGUUCUAUGUUGCCAGCGCGUUAUGGCGGGAACUCAUAGGAGACUGCCGGGGUCAACUCGGAGGAAGGUGGGGAUGACGUCAAAUCAUCAUGCCCCUUAUGUCUUGGGCUUCACGCAUGCUACAAUGGCCGGUACAAAGGGCUGCAAUACCGUAAGGUGGAGCGAAUCCCAAAAAGCCGGUCUCAGUUCGGAUUGAGGUCUGCAACUCGACCUCAUGAAGUCGGAGUCGCUAGUAAUCGCAGAUCAGCAACGCUGCGGUGAAUACGUUCCCGGGCCUUGUACACACCGCCCGUCAAGUCAUGAAAGUCGUAACACCCGAAGCCGG